rnacentral:rRNA from 1 species
UACAGAGGGUGCAAGCGUUAAUCGGAAUUACUGGGCGUAAAGCGUGCGUAGACGGUUAUGUAAGUCAGGUGUGAAAGCCCAGGGCUCAACCUUGGAAUUGCAUUUGAGACUGCAUAGCUAGGGUGCGGAAGAGGGAAGCGGAAUUUCCGGUGUAGCGGUGAAAUGCGUAGAUAUCGGAAGGAACACCAGUGGCGAAAACAGGUCGCUGGGAGUGUGCUGACGCUGAGACACGAAAGCCAGGGGAGCGAACGGG